CACAUUUCUGAAAAAUCCCUAACCUCUUACCCCCUCAAUCUUCAAAGCCUCUGACCUCAAUUUUCACCUCACUCUCUUCAUCCCUGGCUUUUGCUCUCCUGCCUCCAAACCCUUCAGCCACUGACUGUGCGCAGCCACCACGCACCAGCCCUAGUGCUUCCCUUAGUCUCGUGACACUCGCUCUCUCCCUCUCCUUUUCCCAAUCUUCCCUCUAACCGCUUCACCCAAAUCAAUUUUCCCCUCUCAUUGAAAACCCUAAGUACUGCUUCAUCGAUCUUCCCAUCCGAGUGGAUACGUUCCUUUGCUCCCCAUUAUCACCGUUAAUCCGUUCAAAACAGGGGCUCCACCGUCGUUUGCUGUCGUUGCAGUGUUGUCGUGAACUUCUCUAGUUGAUGCGGUCUGCGUUUCGUGGUUAAUUCUUGCGGCGAGACAGAGUAAGUAAAACCCUAACAAGGGAUUUCUCAGGUCUGGGUUUGGUGGGAGGCAGACAUCAAUUGAGAAAACUACCCUCCUGAGCUUCGAUUUCUGCAAUUCAAUUUGGAGCAAGGAGCUCCAGAACGCUGGGUAGGAAGCUAAAUGCACUCUACCAUCACCCAGAUGAUUCGAUGCGCAUGCAAGCUGAUUGCUAUCUCCAGAAUUUCCAGCGAACACUGGAUGGGUGGUAGGUCCUUCGAUCGAACCUCUGCUUUCUCGAAUAAUUUACUUCGUGGAAUCCCAAUUUAUCUCUUUUCCUUUGCGCCGAUUUGAUUUUGUAUGAAUGAAUUGAUAGUUCUGCUUUGUUUUUCGAUGCUGGAUCAUUGCCAUUAAUUAUGGAGUUGUGAACUUUGCUGCAAGUUAUCUUGUAGUGUCACGGGAACAUUUGUGAUUUUUCAGACCAUACAAUUCAAGGUUCAAGAACACAAUCAUCCCCAUGCACUUAUUUUACAAAUUGGAAACACAUUUUGCAAACUCCCUAGUGGUCGUCUCAAGCCAGGAGAGAAUGGGUUCACUUUUGAAGCAGUUAGCAAUAGGAAAUAGUGUUGGCGGUGGCGUUAACAUGUGUUGGAGAUCAUUGAUUGUAUUGUUAAUGAUGAAGGUUUACCGUUGACUUUUACCGUGAUGUAAGGCUCCUCAAGGUUUAUCUGGCAAAAACAAGGAGAGUGGAAGUUUGAUGUGUCACCACUCACCAGUGCUAGAGGAAUGAUAAGGGUGAGUCCGGCAAGUUCUGAGGCAUAUUCACAUGGAGCAGAGCUUGGAAUUGGAGACUGAAUCCAAAAGAAUGGGAAACAUCAUGAGAAAAAAUAAUAGAAAGCUCCGACGGUAGUGGUUCUGUCUUAUUUUCAGCUCUACCAUUAUUUCUUGGGCCUUGCCAAUUGCAUUUGUAAGGAAAUUGAGCUUAAGGCAAGCAUCAAUAUGAGUUUAAAUAGAACAAAAUAGGAAUUGAUGUCUGGCCAUUGCUUAUGUGCAUCAAUAUUUCAAUCUCGUGUUUUACUUGUGUGCAUCAAUAUUUCAUUUCCUUUUAAUUUUUCCUUUUUUUCUGAAACUUAUACUUUAGAUCUUGUCUUUCAAGACUCUAUUGAUGGUCUUAAUGUUUUUCUAUGUUUGUUUUCAAUGUAUUUAUCUGAUGUGGAGAUCCAUUUCUUGGUAAUUAGAUGAAAUUGUCAUAUUAUAUAUUUAGAUAAGUUUGAAGCUUAAAACUUGUAAGCUUUUGGCGUUGAGUAUAGAGAGUGUUAUCAUUUAUGAGAAAAAAACACUAUUAGCAGUGGUUG